GCGCCUUUCCUUCUCCGCGCCUUCUGUCUCCUCCUCUCCUAAAGCUGUUUCUCCGCGGUUUAGUUGCUCUUUUUCUUUCUCGUCCACUUUUAUCUCCACUUUACCCUUGAUUUUUUUUUCCUCCUCUUGAUUCAUUUUGCUUUUUCCUUGGCCUGUCAAUCACUUGGGAGCACAGAUUAAAUUCUCAGACGUUUAACCCUAUCCAGUGUCUUGAUCUUCCGAGAAAGAAAACUUACACUCUUCAAUAGUCAACUAAUUGUUCCUGCCCUAACUAUGCAGGAAAAAAAUAAUUAAUAGGCAGGGUUUGUUUGUUUUUUAAAUUAUGGGGUCCUAAUUUAAGUAACGAACUAUAGCUGCAUUCGAGGGCUAACAUAGUCUACUCAGGACAUGUGGUUUCAGGUAAACCGGAAAAGGAAUGGGCUGAUUAAUGAUACUUACAUCAGGAAAAAGUACUUGGCUGGUAUUCAGGACACAGGGAUUAAUCAAGCUCCACCUUGUCGAGUCAGCGUCAUGGUGUACGGGCAAGAGUAACGCCCAACAGGCUUCAAAUACACUGGCGAUAUAGACUGACAGGAAUUGUGUGAAGGAAAAUAGCUACCCCGACCUCCGUGGCAGAUCAGCCCAGAACUGAGCGUGAAAUGGCUUCCAGGAACUAACAAGAAAAAAAAAAAUGCCUCUCAAGGAAGCCCAUCUUUCGUUCCAGGAUGUGGGACUUGCAUGGCUGUUGCCUAAGGCAGAAGAGAACUAGGCGAGCAAAGCAGCGAGGGACAAAAGCCUUUCCAAGAACCAGAUGUUCUGUUCAAGGCAGUUUGUGUUUGCCUGGCCCCAGCAUUGCCUUGAGAUCAUCAUUGCCUGCUAUUUGCCAGGAUAGCAGUGUCAGUCUAAGCUUCUAGUGCCAUGAGACGCUGGAAAAGUUAAGGCAAUGGAGACACCCAUCAUACACGAGGAAAUGACAGGCGCAGACGAGCUACCUGAAGAUACUCUUAAGCCCUGACCUACUCAGGCUGUUCAGUGCCUAUUUCACACAAAGGGUACAACUAGGCGGAGGGGCCAGGGGUGUAGACAUCCUGCUGGCCUGUUCCCUUUCCAGUGCUGUGCCCUGGGAACCUGUGCUCCAGCCUAGAGAAGAGGGUUUCUUUGUGUAAUUCAUCUUCCCAAGGGCAGCUGCACUUUUUGACAGUGACUGUAUGCCUCCAGAGGAGCCUAGUUGUGUAACAAAAACCUUAGCCUCAUUAAGCAACAACUCCAUUAUAAUCCUGGAAUCAGAUGCUUAGGUAGACAGUUCUACUCGUCCCACUUGUGUCCUUUCAUGCCAGUGCCUCACAGAGGUGGAAGAAUGUUGGAUAUCUGGCACCUCUGUGUCCCUUAAUAACGCUCUUCCAUCGAUGGUGAGAGUGCUUCCUUAUGGCUUUGUGGACCGUCUCCUCCAUCUGGAGGUCAUUCUGACCCACAAUCAGGGCAGCUCAGGAAUCUAAAGAGGAGGGAGCAGAAGCCCUCAAGUCUUCGAAAGCAUCCCUCUUUGUCUGUAUUCCAUCCACCAAGCAAGCACAAGCCCGGUGUGGAUUUGAGAGAGGAGGCAAGCCAGGGAGCAGUUGUACGCGCACGGCCUGAUGGACUUACUCAGCGCCAUUGAGAUAGACUCGCCCUGCAAAGACUGGGGUCCCCAGGAAUGCAUGGUAUUGUUCAAACUGAUUACAGUGACAAAAACGUAAUGAAGGCUGCCUGAUCAAGCCAAUCCUGACAGACUCAACUGCCAAGGAACCA
rnacentral:lncRNA from 1 species